AAAUCUCAUUUUCGAAAAUUGACCCUUAUGACUGGUUUUUUGCUCCAGGGUCACAUAUACCAAAUAUUGAUAACGUUAUAAGAACGUUCCAUAAACGUUACUUUAAGAAUGUUUUGUCCUAACAUUUAUAUAGUUUUAAAUAUGUUAGUGGACAUUGUGAGAACGUUCCCUGUUAGCUCACAUUGGACCGACACGCAACUCAACGCUCCUCAUCUUGUGUUUGCAGAGAGGAAUCAUGUUUGAGAUCAAGCUGAGCAAUGAAGAGACGAAGACUGAGGAAGACGAGGAGUCAGAGGUGAAGUGACGCUCACACACACUCAUGAUGCACACUAUCAGACGAGAGUUAGAGUGAGUGAGUGAGUGUGUGAGUGUCUGACUCUGUGUGUGUGUGUGUGUGUGUGUGUGUGUGUGUGUGUGAGAGAGUGUGUGUGUGUGUGUGUGUGUGUGUGUGAGAGAGAGUGUGUGUGUGUGUGUGUGUGAGAGUGAAUGCGUGCGUGCGUGCAUGUGUGUGUGCGUGUGUCUGACUCUGUGUGUGUUGCAUGCAGGACGAGCCCCUGAACAACACACUGACGUUUGCACAAGGAGAAAAGCUACGCAACCGACCGCAGGGGUCAGAGGUCAGACAGGAAGUGGAGGAGGAAGUGGUGAAGAGAGCCGAGUGGCAUCGAGACGCAGCUGAGACGUUUCUGAACGCUCUGGAGAACAUGGAUGUGAUGACAGAGAGCAGCAUCAGUCUCGCUCAGACCGUUUCAGAGGAGCAGGAGGGAGGAAACAGGAAGCACUGGACGAAUCGUCUGCCGGAGACACUGCUGAACGCUCUCGCUCAAGCAGACAUCAUGGACUGCAGUACAGAGGAAGAGGAGGAGUGUGAUGAAGAUGAAGAUGAGGUGGAUGAAGAGCGUCUGGAGCCUCGAUCAGAUGAUGAAGACACGAACUUUGAGGAGUCCGAGGACGAGCUGCGGGACGAGGUGAGCGACUCCAUGAGGAACCUCCUCACCACACAGGAGCAGGAGCAGGAGCUGGAGGAGCAGACGGCACAGGAAACACAGCAGGAAGUGAACCGCAGAUCACAGGAAGUGAGCGAGGAGAUGCAGCCACCCGCUCAUGCUGAGUCUGGGAAAAACACUGCAGUGAACUGAUCCUGCGGUUUUCCUUCUUUUUCUUUUUCAUUCUGUGUGAAUCUCUGUUAAACUAAUGUAUUCCUGUGAUGCGCAGCUGUAUUUUCAGCAUCAUUCCUCCAGUCUUCAGUGUCACAUGAUCUUCAGAAAUCAGUAUAAUAUGCUGCUCUGCUGCUCGAGAAACAUUUCUGAUUAUUAGCAAUGUUGAACACAGUCGUGCUGCACAAUAUUUUUGUGGAAACUGUGAUGCAUUUUAUUUUUCAGGAUUCACAGAUGAACAGAGAGUUCAGAAGAACAGC
rnacentral:lncRNA from 1 species